rnacentral:rRNA from 1 species
AGCGGCGGACGGGUGAGUAACGCGUGGGUAACCUGCCCUGUACACACGGAUAACAUACCGAAAGGUAUGCUAAUACGAGAUAAUAUGCUUUUAUCGCAUGGUAGAAGUAUCAAAGCUCCGGCGGUACAGGAUGGACCCGCGUCUGAUUAGCUAGUUGGUAAGGUAACGGCUUACCAAGGCGACGAUCAGUAGCCGACCUGAGAGGGUGAUCGGCCACAUUGGAACUGAGACACGGUCCAAACUCCUACGGGAGGCAGCAGUGGGGAAUAUUGCACAAUGGGCGAAAGCCUGAUGCAGCAACGCCGCGUGAGCGAUGAAGGCCUUCGGGUCGUAAAGCUCUGUCCUCAAGGAAGAUAAUGACGGUACUUGAGGAGGAAGCCCCGGCUAACUACGUGCCAGCAGCCGCGGUAAUACGUAGGGGGCUAGCGUUAUCCGGAAUUACUGGGCGUAAAGGGUGCGUAGGUGGUUUCUUAAGUCAGAGGUGAAAGGCUACGGCUCAACCGUAGUAAGCCUUUGAAACUGGGAAGCUUGAGUGCAGGAGAGGAGAGUGGAAUUCCUAGUGUAGCGGUGAAAUGCGUAGAUAUUAGGAGGAACACCAGUUGCGAAGGCGGCUCUCUGGACUGUAACUGACACUGAGGCACGAAAGCGUGGGGAGCAAACAGGAUUAGAUACCCUGGUAGUCCACGCCGUAAACGAUGGGUACUAGCUGU